UACACUCCUGCGGGAGGCAGCAGUGGGGAAUUUUGGACAAUGGGCGAAAGCCUGAUCCAGCCAUGCCGCGUGCAGGAUGAAGGCCUUCGGGUUGUAAACUGCUUUUGUACGGAACGAAACGGCCUUUUCUAAUAAAGAGGGCUAAUGACGGUACCGUAAGAAUAAGCACCGGCUAACUACGUGCCAGCAGCCGCGGUAAUACGUAGGGUGCAAGCGUUAAUCGGAAUUACUGGGCGUAAAGCGUGCGCAGGCGGUUAUGUAAGACAGUUGUGAAAUCCCCGGGCUCAACCUGGGAACUGCAUCUGUGACUGCAUAGCUAGAGUACGGUAGAGGGGGAUGGAAUUCCGCGUGUAGCAGUGAAAUGCGUAGAUAUGCGGAGGAACACCGAUGGCGAAGGCAAUCCCCUGGACCUGUACUGACGCUCAUGCACGAAAGCGUGGGGAGCAAACAGGAUUAGAAACCCCGGUAGUCCCAUGAU
rnacentral:rRNA from 1 species